AUAUUUAUAUUGUUAUUUCCUUAAUUUUUUAUUUCAUAUUGCAUAAAUAGUUGAACAAUUAAAUUAAAAACGACAUCCUCCGCAACAAAGUAUAUUUUAUUCAUGGAAAAUGCAUAAAAUAUAUGUCUUGUGGAACAAGGCAAUAACAGUAUAUUUACAAGCGUUGCACGGCUGUCUUCAGUUAAUGUCGCGAGGCUAUGGUUAGUUCCAUUAAUUAACGUAAACCCUUACUUUAUUUUUAUAUAGAGUAGUUCCCCACUAGAUUGGAUAUGAUAACAGGGACUAAGACAA
rnacentral:rRNA from 1 species